ACCCUGCUAGCUCAGUCGGUAGAGCACGAGACUCUUAAUCUCGGGGUUGUGAGUUCGAGCCCCACGUUGGCGAAGUU
rnacentral:tRNA from 1 species